GCGGUCACCGCCACUUGACGAUUGGCGCUUACCUCAGCCAAUCGUGGGGUCGCGACUCCCUCCUGGCUACCAAUGGAGGGUCGCUCCAGGUCUAGGGGGCGUGGCCGACAGCCCACGCUUUCUAGCGGCCCAGAGCCGGGACGAAGGCGGCGGCGGGAAGUGGCGGCCGCGGCGGCGGCGGUCGCCGAGCAAGCUUCGCGGGCGCGGGCGCCGGCGCCGGAUGAACCAUCAAGUCCCAAGAGAAAACAGUUCUUCCUGGCCUCUCGUUAUUAUGAUGAAAAUGUCACUGGUGAAAGUCUGUUGACUAUUUCUCGUGAUCACUGCAAUUUCUUAGUCUUGGAGCACCUGGACAAAGACAACGUGAGCCUCUUGGACAAAGGAGAGAUGUCAGAGCUGUCCUUCUCGGGGAGCCCCCCAGCCUCUCUUGACAGAGCUCCCUAUCAGCUGAGUGAGCUCUCGAACAUAGCCGAUUACGCUCUCCUGAAUGAUACCUAUUCCAUCCAUAUCUCAGACUCAGAUUCUAAACUGAAAGAACAUUUGUCAUAUCUAAGUUCAGAGACAGAUCUCGAAAUGCAAAAAGAGGAGCAAUUUUUUGAUAUGUUGAAAGAUGAAAGCAAGAAUUCUAAUGUUUUGGAUGAUAUCUGCAGAAAUCUAGAUAGUGAUUGUAAGGACAUUAGUAGUAGUGAUAUUGAAAAGUGUGAUCUAGAUGAAGAUUCCCAGCAGGAAUAUCACAGUGCUGAAGAGCAAGAUUACUCAGGUUACCAUUUAGAUUUUGACCAAAUAAAGACACUGUGUACUCCCAAUUCAGAAGUCAUAGAGUUGGGAAAUUCUGAUUAUGAAAUUAAUGCUAAUGGUCUGGGACAGAAUCAUGUGAAGAAAUUGGAAGAAAGCACCUUUUUCUCCUACGAAACAACUCACAUCCAUACCCAAGAAGACGUGGCCGAGGCGCCCAAGCGUCAUGAUUACCUGUCUCUGACCGAGCAUCACGGCCAGAAGUACUGGAGGUGCCAAGAGCAAGAGGCGAGUUUCACCAACCAGAGCUUGUUGGACGGCGUCACCCGCUUGAGCAACACUGAGGAUGGGCAGGACGUGGCUCUUGGGCACGCGGCCCCCUCGCGCAGCGGCCCAGAGAAGGUGCCAAAGACCCUGAAAGCCGGCAUUUCCUCCAACAGGAGGAGGUCUCCGCGAACCGAAAAGAAGGAUGUCUGUGCGGAAGUGGGCGAGAAUAGCCUUCUGAAGGGCAUGGAAAAGCCCGCUUUGUUCCUGGAAAGAGCAUCAGCAGCAUCACGGCAGCCUGGCAAGUGUUUUCAGAGUUCUGCAGCUUAUGUCUUUGAUGAAUCGGACGUUUCUGCCUAUGACCAGUCGUGCUAUAAAUUCGUCCAGAGCACGGCCAAGCCGGACUUAGAUUUCCCCAUGACUCUGCCGAAGGUUCCAGCCAAGGAGAGCCAUUUGGCAGAAGGAGAUAGCCUGCCGGAAGCGGCCCGUGCAGGCGUCCUGAACAAAACGCACUUUAUCAGCGUGGAGUCGAAGCAUCCUCAGCACUCGGGGGCUGCAAACCGUGACUGCCUCGUGACCGUGAACCAGACGAUCGACGCCAGUUCAGAUUUCAGGGCCUGCUUCACGACGAGCCGGGCCACAAGCGCCAGGUCCUCGGUGGCCUCCAGGUCGAGCAAUACGGAGAUAACCAUGAUGAACAAGAUGCGGCCCAGCGAGUGGGCGCCCGAGAAGCAAAAGAGCAUCGCCUGCAACACGGACUGGUCCUCUCUGCAGGACUGGGCGGGGGAGGAGGGCCACCUGCCGGGGCCUGCGCCCAGAGGCCUAGACAAAGCCCUUCCGGCUGAGAAUUCAAAAGCUAAUGAUGAUUUGUUUAUUAAGGAUUACCUGGAACUGAAAAAUAAAUAUGAUAUGAAAGACUUAAAGAAAAACUCUGAGAGUCAGUUUCAACCUUCUAAAGAAGUGGAGAAGAAUUUUUCACCCAAAUGUUGUCAGAAAACAUUGCAGAGAGCUAUAAAAGCAGAGUUGCAGCUUUUAAGAGCCCAUUAUCAGAUGUGUCAUCAACAUUGUUGGAAAAUUUACAGACUUAUAAUGGAAGAAAAGGAAAGCUUUACUAGGAAUUGUGCAAGUGAUUUUGCUAAAACAGAAUUAGAAUCUACAUUACUGUCCCUUUUUGGAGAUCUGAAAUUUAAAUAUUUGAGUAUGAGAGAAAAAAUAAUAAAGGGAAUACCGUUGGACGAAUUGCCUCCCCUGUCUGUAGAGUCCAAAUUAUCAUCUUUCUUUUCCACUUUUAAUCCUUCCAAGAUAAUAAAGGAAGACUCUCAUAUCCUUUCAGCACCAAACUCGUCCCCUGAUGUUCCUGCUGCACACAGUGCUGACCUUGGUGCCGCCCACUUGAAAGGGACUCUCUCUCAAACCCUCCACACAUCCGAGAAUGUUCAUCCCAAACAAGAAGCAGCCUCCAAGAAUGACAGCAGAAAGACCCGGGAUCUGAAUGUCGGCUUCCGAAAUCUGAAACUGGAUGAUGAAAAUUACCCAAAACGUCAGGAAAAAAGUGAAGGCAAAGAAAACCUGAUGGGCACCAAGUGCUUGGAAAUAUUGAACCCUCAGAUGGAACCAGAGCAGAGGAGCUCCGAGGUCACAGCAGAGAAGAAGAUUUCCGAACCUCCCCAUAGGGAGCCGAACAAAAGCUAUCUCAUUCACGUCGGCAGCUUGGGCCCUUCAGUGUCCGAGACUGACCUAAUGUCUCAUUUCCAGAAGUAUCAAGUUUCUGAAGUUUCCAUUUGCACUUCUUCUCAUAACUACAGGUAUGCAUCUCUUGUUUUUAAAAAAGCCAACAAGGCAAAAAUGGCUGUGGAAGAAAUGAAUGGGAAAGAAAUCAAUGGGAAGUCAGUCAAUGUUCGUCUGGUCAAAACCCCCAUAGAAAACGUCCCACCCCUGUCCUUCAGGAACGAAAGCAGGCUUGCUCUCGGUGGUUCGGAGAAGACGCUGGACAGCAAAGGCUCCAGCUCGGCCCCUUUGACUUCUAAGAUAUCGGCUCACGUGCUGAGGCCUCCGGCACCCGAGCAAGAAAGUGUUUCUCUUUCAGCCGACCAGAAGAGUGGCAAAAAAGGUUUAAAACAGAAUAAACCCGUGAAGUUGUUACCUGAAACGCCUCUUCCCUACAUCCCUCCAAAUAUCUUGAAUCUGGGGAGCUUCACCAAACUUCUGAGGAAGCUUGAAGCUCUGCACCCCGACAUCAGCAGAGACACCAUCAUCGAUGCCCUCCAAGAGGUGAGGACCAAUAACAAGGGUUUUCUGAGCGGCCUCUCCCUGACCACCAUCGUCGAGAUGACGACCUCUGUCUUGAGAAACUCGGCCUUCAAGAAGGAGGAGAAGAAGUAUCGAGAGGAAAUAUUCAAAGUUGGAAUUCAUUAGACUUCUCUGUUUCUGCACAUGAGGUGAGCUGUCUCAGCGGGAUGUCUGAUACCUUUGCAAAACUCCCCCAGCCCUUUAUCACAGCCUUCUCUCCCAGGACAAUUCUCAUAAGAAAGUUUGAAGAUAAUUAAGAAAGCCCAUGCGAGUGAUGGGGCUGCCGGAGGCUGGCCCAGAGUUGCCAGCGAGUGCUCCGCUGCCUUCCUGUCCAGCUGGACUCAGAGCGGAUGCUCACUUUGCGCCUGGUGCGAUCCCAGCCACAGAACGCCUUCUUUAAAGCCCCGAGCCCUCCGGGGCUGCCAGGGCUCCAGGAGGCCAGUUCCAGCUAUAGGGCGGCCAGUGUAGACACAGGUUGUCCCGGCAUGUUUGCAGUCCCGAGGGCUCGAGGUGUGUUUGGGGUUGGUUUGGUUGCUUUGGGUUUUCAGGCACACUGCUGGGGCUCUGGGGCACUGUUGGAAGGUCACCGAAGAGUGUUGCAUUUAGUUUUCAGGUGUCAUUUGCUGCAUUAAAAGUAGACCUUGGUCAUCCA